AUGAUCAUAUUAGAUACAGAUACUACAAUUUGCUCAGGCCCACUUCCGACUGACCAAACCAUGGUAUGAUAUAUGACCACGGUCGUACCAACCAUAGUGGUCCUAACAGAUAAUCUAUAGUCACCACAUUACUUAGCCACAGGUGACCCCUACAGAUAGUGCGAUACCACUCUUGUCAGAGGGCACACUGUUAUCCACUAGGAGUGGUUUUCUUACGUCUUUCUAGACCAAAUAGGGGAUGGGGAAACAAAUACCCCGAAGGGCAAGGGGAACAGAUACCCCUCAAAGAUAAAGCCUAAUGAGACACUUGAUGCAAUAUGCAUGUCAAUACAGAUACACUUUGGACCAUACAGGCUUCAUUCCACUUUUUUCUUUUUCUUUAUUUUAUUUUAUUUUUUUAUUAUCACAGGGUACAUAUUACAUUUAUCGCAUGUAAAUUCACCGAGUGUCAGUAAAUCACACAGCAUGCUUGAAAAUCAGACAAUUUGACUCAUUUGAAUACAAAGGCAUCCAAAACAAACAAAAUAACUAUCAUAUUAAAUUUGCUUAUCUAAAAAUACUCCUUAGGACGUCGAAAUUAAUACUAGAUUUCUUACCAAAACCUUGAUAUUUUCUACUCACCGUUUUGCUUUCUUUUUUUUCUUCUCUCAUUAUUUUAAUAUAUCUCUCU
rnacentral:lncRNA from 1 species